GAUGAACGCUGGCGGCGUGCCUAAUACAUGCAAGUCGAGCGAACGGACGAGAGGCUUGCUUUUCUGAUGUUAGCGGCGGACGGGUGAGUAACACGUGGAUAACCUACCUAUAAGACUGGGAUAACUUCGGGAAACCGGAGCUAAUACCGGAUAAUAUUUUGAACCGCAUGGUUCAAAAGUGAAAGACGGUCUUGCUGUCACUUAUAGAUGGAUCCGCGCUGCAUUGGCUAGUUGGUAAGGUAACGGCUUACCAAGGCAACGAUGCAUAGCCGACCUGAGAGGGUGAUCUGCCACACUGGAACUGAGGCGCGAGCCAGACUCCUACGGGAGGCAGCAGUAGGGAUUCUUCCGCGAUGGGCGAGAGCCUGACGGAGCAACGCCGCGUGAGUGAUGAGGGUCUUCGGAUCGUAAAACUCUGUUAUUAGGGGAGAACGUAUGUGUAAGUAACUGUGCACAUCUUGACGGUACCUAAUCAGAAAGCCACGGCUAACUACGUG
rnacentral:rRNA from 1 species